rnacentral:rRNA from 1 species
AUGUGCUGUGAGCUCGAUGAGUAGGGCGGGACACGUGGUAUCCUGUCUGAAUAUGGGGGGACCAUCCUCCAAGGCUAAAUACUCCUGACUGACCGAUAGUGAACCAGUACCGUGAGGGAAAGGCGAAAAGAACCCCGGCGAGGGGAGUGAAAAAGAACCUGAAACCGUGUACGUACAAGCAGUGGGAGCACCCUUUGGGGUGUGACUGCGUACCUUUUGUAUAAUGGGUCAGCGACUUAUAUUCUGUAGCAAGGUUAACCGUAUAGGGGAGCCGGAGGGAAACCGAGUCUUAACCGGGCGUUAAGUUGCAGGGUAUAGACCCGAAACCCGGUGAUCUAGCCAUGGGCAGGUUGAAGGUUGGGUAACACUAACUGGAGGACCGAACCGACUAAUGUUGAAAAAUUAGCGGAUGACCUGUGGCUGGGGGUGAAAGGCCAAUCAAACCGGGAGAUAGCUGGUUCUCCCCGAAAGCUAUUUAGGUAGCGCCUCGUGAACUCAUCUCCGGGGGUAGAGCACUGUUUCGGCUAGGGGGCCAUCCCGGCUUACCAACCCGAUGCAAACUGCGAAUACCGGAGAAUGUUAUCACGGGAGACACACGGCGGGUGCUAACGUCCGUCGUGAAGAGGGAAACAACCCAGACCGCCAGCUAAGGUCCCAAAGUCAUGGUUAAGUGGGAAACGAUGUGGGAAGGCCCAGACAGCCAGGAUGUUGGCUUAGAAGCAGCCAUCAUUUAAAGAAAGCGUAAUAGCUCACUGGUCGAGUCGGCCUGCGCGGAAGAUGUAACGGGGCUAAACCAUG